rnacentral:rRNA from 1 species
UACGUAGGGGGCAAGCGUUGUCCGGAAUCAUUGGGCGUAAAGCGCGUGUAGGCGGUUUGGUAAGUCUGCUGUGAAAGUCCAGGGCUCAACCCUGGGAUGCCGGUGGAUACUGUCGGGCUAGAGUACGGAAGAGGCGAGUGGAAUUCCCGGUGUAGCGGUGAAAUGCGCAGAUAUCGGGAGGAACACCAAUUGCGAAGGCAGCUCGCUGGGACGUCACUGACGCUGAGACGCGAAAGCGUGGGGAGCAAACAGG